rnacentral:rRNA from 1 species
GAUGAACGCUGGCGGCGUGCCUAAUACAUGCAAGUCGAGCGAACGGACGAGAAGCUUGCUUCUCUGAUGUUAGCGGCGGACGGGUGAGUAACACGUGGAUAACCUACCUAUAAGACUGGGAUAACUUCGGGAAACCGGAGCUAAUACCGGAUAAUAUUUUGAACCGCAUGGUUCAAAAGUGAAAGACGGUCUUGCUGUCACUUAUAGAUGGAUCCGCGCUGCAUUAGCUAGUUGGUAAGGUAACGGCUUACCAAGGCAACGAUGCAUAGCCGACCUGAGAGGGUGAUCGGCCACACUGGAACUGAGACACGGUCCAGACUCCUACGGGAGGCAGCAGUAGGGAAUCUUCCGCAAUGGGCGAAAGCCUGACGGAGCAACGCCGCGUGAGUGAUGAAGGUCUUCGGAUCGUAAAACUCUGUUAUUAGGGAAGAACAUAUGUGUAAGUAACUGUGCACAUCUUGACGGUACCUAAUCAGAAAGCCACGGCUAACUACGUGCCAGCAGCCGCGGUAAUACGUAGGUGGNCAGCGUUAUCCGGAAUUAUUGGGCGUAAAGCGCGCGUAGGCGGUUUUUUAGUCUGAUGUGAAAGCCCACGGCUCAACCGUGGAGGGUCAUUGGAAACUGGAAAACUUGAGUGCAGAAGAGGAAAGUGGAAUUCCAUGUGUAGCGGUGAAAUGCGCAGAGAUAUGGAGGAACACCAGUGGCGAAGGCGACUUUCUGGUCUGUAACUGACGCUGAUGUGCGAAAGCGUGGGGAUCAAACAGGAUUAGAUACCCUGGUAGUCCACGCCGUAAACGAUGAGUGCUAAGUGUUAGGGGGUUUCCGCCCCUUAGUGCUGCAGCUAACGCAUUAAGCACUCCGCCUGGGGAGUACGACCGCAAGGUUGAAACUCAAAGGAAUUGACGGGGACCCGCACAAGCGGUGGAGCAUGUGGUUUAAUUCGAAGCAACGCGAAGAACCUUACCAAAUCUUGACAUCCUUUGACAACUCUAGAGAUAGAGCCUUCCCCUUCGGGGGACAAAGUGACAGGUGGUGCAUGGUUGUCGUCAGCUCGUGUCGUGAGAUGUUGGGUUAAGUCCCGCAACGAGCGCAACCCUUAAGCUUAGUUGCCAUCAUUAAGUUGGGCACUCUAAGUUGACUGCCGGUGACAAACCGGAGGAAGGUGGGGAUGACGUCAAAUCAUCAUGCCCCUUAUGAUUUGGGCUACACACGUGCUACAAUGGACAAUACAAAGGGCAGCGAAACCGCGAGGUCAAGCAAAUCCCAUAAAGUUGUUCUCAGUUCGGAUUGUAGUCUGCAACUCGACUACAUGAAGCUGGAAUCGCUAGUAAUCGUAGAUCAGCAUGCUACGGUGAAUACGUUCCCGGGUCU